rnacentral:rRNA from 1 species
CCUACGGGGGGCAGCAGUAGGGAAUCUUCGGCAAUGGACGAAAGUCUGACCGAGCAACGCCGCGUGAGUGAAGAAGGUUUUCGGAUCGUAAAGCUCUGUUGUAAGUCAAGAACGUGUGUGAGAGUGGAAAGUUCACACAGUGACGGUAGCUUACCAGAAAGGGACGGCUAACUACGUGCCAGCAGCCGCGGUAAUACGUAGGUCCCGAGCGUUGUCCGGAUUUAUUGGGCGUAAAGGGAGCGCAGGCGGUCAGGAAAGUCUGGAGUAAAAGGCUAUGGCUCAACCAUAGUGUGCUCUGGAAACUGUCUGACUUGAGUGCAGAAGGGGAGAGUGGAAUUCCAUGUGUAGCGGUGAAAUGCGUAGAUAUAUGGAGGAACACCAGUGGCGAAAGCGGCUCUCUGGUCUGUCACU